rnacentral:rRNA from 1 species
AGUGAACGCUGGCGGCGUGCUUAACACAUGCAAGUCGAACGAGAACGGAAUAUAGCUUGCUAUAUUUGUCAGCUAAGUGGCGCACGGGUGAGUAAUGUAUAGAUAACCUGCCCUUAAGAAAGGAAUAACAGUUGGAAACGACUGCUAAUGCCCUAAAUGCCUUUAAUACAUAAGUAUGCAAGGGAAACGCUUUAGUGCUUAAGGAUGGGUCUGUAUGGUAUCAGCUUGUUGGUGGGGUAAUGGCUCACCAAGGCUAUGACGCCUAACUGGUUUGAGAGGAUGAUCAGUCACACUGGAACUGAGACACGGUCCAGACUCCUACGGGAGGCAGCAGUGGGGAAUAUUGCACAAUGGACGAAAGUCUGAUGCAGCAACGCCGCGUGGAGGAUGACACAUUUCGGUGCGUAAACUCCUUUUAUAUAGGAAGAUAAUGACGGUACUAUAUGAAUAAGCACCGGCUAACUCCGUGCCAGCCGCCGCGGUAAAAC